UCUGCAGCCAUGUUCAUGUUUAUAUUCAUCAACUGCGGCGCUACCACGCUGCUCACUGGUGGUGGUGAGUCGAUCCCCGAGUACCCUGGUGACCCAGAAGGUGUGCUUUCUUUUUCCUCCAUUAGAAGUGAGUGGUGGAUUGGCCAGCAGAGACACAGAUAAUUGAUUUUUAGGAAUGGAACGGGAAAAAUUGGAAAGUGGAGCUGUGGAGUGAAGUUUGAACAAAGAAAGAGACUGCAAAUGGCGCCAGAUAUAGAAGCUGCAACGUGUGGCUUUUUCUUUAAAAGAAACAAAAUGAAAAGAUGCGUAUGUGAGAGAGAGAUUAAUUUUAUAAACCUUACUCCAUUAAUGGAGGAAGAAAUAAGGGUCUCUGAAAACA
rnacentral:misc_RNA from 1 species